GUGAACGCUGGCGGUAGGCCUAACCCAUGCCAGUCGAACGGCAGCACAGUAAGAGCUUGCUCUUACGGGUGGCGAGUGGCGGACGGGUGAGGAAUACAUCGGAAUCUACUUUUUCGUGGGGGAUAACGUAGGGAAACUUACGCUAAUACCGCAUACGACCUACGGGUGAAAGCAGGGGAUCUUCGGACCUUGCGCGAUUGAAUGAGCCGAUGUCGGAUUAGCUAGUUGGGGGGUAAAGGCCCACCAAGGCGACGAUCCGUAGCUGGUCUGAGAGGAUGAUCAGCCACACUGGAACUGAGACACGGUCCAGACUCCUACGGGAGGCAGCAGUGGGGAAUAUUGGACAAAGGGCGCAAGCCUGAUCCAGCCAUACCGCGUGGGUGAAGAAGGCCUUCGGGUUGUAAAGCCCUUUUGUUGGGAAAGAAAAGCAGCAGGUUAAUACCCCGCUGUUCUGACGGUACCCAAAGAAUAAGCACCGGCUAACUUCGUG
rnacentral:rRNA from 1 species